UACGAAGGGGGCUAGCGUUGUUCGGAAUCACUGGGCGUAAAGCGCACGUAGGCGGUUCUUUAAGUCAGGGGUGAAAUCCUGGAGCUCAACUCCAGAACUGCCUUUGAUACUGGGGAUCUCGAGUCCGGAAGAGGUGAGUGGAACUCCGAGUGUAGAGGUGAAAUUCGUAGAUAUUCGGAAGAACACCAGUGGCGAAGGCGGCUCACUGGUCCGGUACUGACGCUGAGGCGCGAAAGCGUGGGGAGCAAACAGG
rnacentral:rRNA from 1 species